rnacentral:tRNA from 1 species
GCCUCCUUAGCUCAAGGGCAGAGCACUGGUCUUGUAAACCAGGGGUCGUGAGUUCGAUUCUCACAGGGGGCA